ACGGGUGAGUAAUACAUCGGAACGUGCCCAAUCGUGGGGGAUAACGCAGCGAAAGCUGUGCUAAUACCGCAUACGAUCUACGGAUGAAAGCAGGGGAUCGCAAGACCUUGCGCGAAUGGAGCGGCCGAUGGCAGAUUAGGUAGUUGGUGGGGUAAAGGCUCACCAAGCCUUCGAUCUGUAGCUGGUCUGAGAGGACGACCAGCCACACUGGGACUGAGACACGGCCCAGACUCCUACGGGAGGCAGCAGUGGGGAAUUUUGGACAAUGGGCGCAAGCCUGAUCCAGCCAUGCCGCGUGCAGGAUGAAGGCCUUCGGGUUGUAAACUGCUUUUGUACGGAACGAAACGGCCUUUUCUAAUAAAGAGGGCUAACGACGGUACCGUAAGAAUAAGCACCGGCUAACUACGUGCCAGCAGCCGCGGUAAUACGUAGGGUGCAAGCGUUAAUCGGAAUUACUGGGCGUAAAGCGUGCGCAGGCGGUUAUGUAAGACAGUUGUGAAAUCCCCGGGCUCAACCUGGGAACUGCAUCUGUGACUGCAUAGCUAGAGUACGGUAGAGGGGGAUGGAAUUCCGCGUGUAGCAGU
rnacentral:rRNA from 1 species